rnacentral:tRNA from 1 species
GCCCUCGUGGCCUAAUGGAUAAGGCAUCGGUCUCCUAAACCGGGAAUUGCGGGUUCGAGUCUCGCCGAGGGUA